rnacentral:lncRNA from 1 species
GGACUCUGCCUACAGUCACCGUGGAGCAUCAGGGAGGCACCGUGUGCUCUGUAGCCCCAGCCAGACGUGUGCCCACAUCAUCCCCUGUAGCUGCGUUACAGUUGGGGACCUGAGCCCAGGGCAGGGAAGAUGCUGAAGUGAUGAGCUUUCCAAAGGGCCAGGUCUCUGGAGUCGAUUUAUCUUCUGUGGAAGUUGCCAAAGCCCAGGUAUCCCACGGUGGCCUCAGAGGGCUGGAUGCCCUCCCGCAGCGGUGGUGCCGGGGAAGGCUCGGACCCUACGCUGGACUCAGGACUGUCCUUGUCGGCUGGUGGGGGCUUGGGCAGGGCAUCCCUCGGUUCCUCUUUGCCUUCAUCAGGAGAGGGAGGAGGCAGAGGAGGCAGGGUCACCCUGAGAUCUGGAGGCACUGGCCCUCCUCUUAGAAGGCCUUCCCAUCUCCGGGGAAGUCAGGGGCUCAUGCCCAGGUAGGGGUGAUGGUGGUCAACGCCCUGACUCUAUAGGAAGAGGCACUUCUGCACCAGAGCUGCUUCUAGAGCAGGGGCACCUGGGGAGGGCAUCUUGCCCCAGCAUCUGUGGGGCCCCCGCAGGCACCUCAGGAUACCUUAGGGCCUGUUUCCCCGCUUUGUCGCCAUUCAGUCCGUCGGUCCGUCCAUCUGCAAAGCUGAGCUUCUGCUCUGAUGCAGGCCUGCGGUGGCAAGGAUGACACAGGCCUGCACUUGCUCUCAAGGUCUAGCCCUGUUUGGGGUUAGUACAGGCCGUCCAGAGAGGGCAAGGAGGGCAAGACCCAGGGCGCCUGGCCUCAGCCCGGUGCAUGGAUGGUCCUGUCGAGCCGAGGAGGAGACCCUUACUCUCUGUCUGGGCUCUCCUGCCCACAGGGUCCACAUGGAAGCCGUCCUGCCCUCACUCGACCUCCUGCUGGCAGGGCCAGAGGUUCAGGGACCGGGUUCCCUAGAGCUGGAGGUGGGAGCCCCCCAGAUGGUGGCAGCCCCCCAGAUGGUGGCAGCAGCAUGGACCACGAAUCGCUGAGGUUUUCCUUUUCCAAGCAGCGCGUUUCCCUAAAUUGUCUUUGACUGCGUGCAUGGGUAAUGAAAGUUUAUGCCCUUGUUAGAAGGACAGGCGGCCAGUUCCAGUUAGAACUGGGGCUGUCUCCCUGCCAGCCCGCUCAGCCCCCUCCCCAGCAGGAGAGAGGCAGCGUGAGCACAAGAGUGCAAGAGUGUGUGUGUGUGCGUGCGCACGUGUGUGUGCGCACGCACACAACCUCCCCCUCCCUGGCAGAUAAGAAGGCUGUUAGGCGAAGGGAGAGGGGACGAAAAAAAAAA